rnacentral:rRNA from 1 species
GACGAACGCUGGCGGCGUGCUUAACACAUGCAAGUCGUACGGUAAGGCCCUUUCGGGGGUACACGAGUGGCGAACGGGUGAGUAACACGUGAGUAACCUGCCCACAACUUUGGGAUAACGCUAGGAAACUGGUGCUAAUACUGGAUAUGUGCUCCUGCUGCAUGGUGGGGGUUGGAAAGCUCCGGCGGUUGUGGAUGGACUCGCGGCCUAUCAGCUUGUUGGUGGGGUAGUGGCCUACCAAGGCGGCGACGGGUAGCCGGCCUGAGAGGGUGACCGGCCACAUUGGGACUGAGAUACGGCCCAGACUCCUACGGGAGGCAGCAGUGGGGAAUAUUGCACAAUGGGCGCAAGCCUGAUGCAGCAACGCCGCGUGCGGGAUGACGGCCUUCGGGUUGUAAACCGCUUUCAGCAGGGACGAAGCUUUUUGUGGCGGUACCUGCAGAAGAAGCACCGGCUAACUACGUG